CCUACGGGGUGCUGCAGUGGGGAAUAUUGGACAAUGGGCGAAAGCCUGAUCCAGCCAUGCCGCGUGUGUGAAGAAGGCCUUCGGGUUGUAAAGCACUUUCAGUGGGGAAGAAAGCCUUGGGGCUAAUACCCUCGAGGAAGGACAUCACCCACAGAAGAAGCACCGGCUAACUCCGUGCCAGCAGCCGCGGUAAUACGGAGGGUGCGAGCGUUAAUCGGAAUUACUGGGCGUAAAGCGCGCGUAGGCGGUCUGAUAAGCCGGUUGUGAAAGCCCCGGGCUCAACCUGGGAACGGCAUCCGGAACUGUCAGGCUAGAGUGCAGGAGAGGAAGGUAGAAUUCCCGGUGUAGCGGUGAAAUGCGUAGAGAGCGGGAGGAAUACCAGUGGCGAAGGCGGCCUUCUGGACUGACACUGACGCUGAGGUGCGAAAGCGUGGGUAGCAAACAGGAUUAGAUACCCCGGUAGUC
rnacentral:rRNA from 1 species